GGUACCGCCCCUUUGUGACAUGUGGCGCUUUGAAUGAGUGCUAGCAGUUGGGUUAUCCUCCUGUCUGUCGUGUGCUGGCUGUUGGCCAGUUUUCAGAUAUGGGCCUGCAAGUAGCUGUAAUCCUGCGUGGUGAGCGACCAUGUGUAUUGCAGCAUUGUACCGUUUUCUUGGAUUGAUUGCACGUCCAGGGGUUUCUAAUGAUCUUAAUUGAAGCCUAACGAACCUCAAGUAACUGACUGCACUUCUGCUCUGCUCUACUGUUUUGUUCUGUCUGGAAUUCA